rnacentral:rRNA from 1 species
AUUGAACGCUGGCGGCAGGCCUAACACAUGCAAGUCGAACGGUAACAGGAUGCAGCUUGCUGCUUUGCUGACGAGUGGCGGACGGGUGAGACAUGUCUGGGAAACUCUCCGUUGGAGGGGGGGAUCAAGUGGAAAGGGUUACUAAAACACCAUAUCUGCCCAAGCCCAGAGAGGGGGAGAUCGGGGCCUCUUGCGAUCGUGUGUGCCCGGGUGGGAUUAGCGAGAAGGUGGGGUAAGGUCUCACCUAGGCGACGAUCCCUAGCUGGUCUGAGAGGGUGACCAGCCACACUGGAACUGAGACACGGUCCAGACUCCUACGGGAGGCAGCAGUGGGGAAUAUUGCACAAUGGGCGCAAGCCUGAUGCAGCCAUGCCGCGUGUAUGAAGAAGGCCUUCGGGUUGUAAAGUACUUUCAGCGGGGAGGAAGGGAGUAAAGUUAAUACCUUUGCUCAUUGACGUUACCCGCAGAAGAAGCACCGGCUAACUCCGUG